rnacentral:rRNA from 1 species
AGGACUAACGCUGGCGGCGUGCCUAACACAUGCAAGUCGAACGAGAGUAGCAAUACUCUAGUGGCAGACGGGUGAGUAACACGUGGUCAACCUUCCCUAGCGUGGGGGAUAACUAGCCGAAAGGUUAGCUAAUACCGCAUGACAUCGUCGAGUGGCAUCAUUUGACGAUCAAAGGAGCAAUCCGCGCAAGGACGGGACCGCGUCCCAUUAGCUAGUUGGUGAGGUAACGGCCCACCAAGGCUUCGAUGGGUAGCUGGUUUGAGAGAGCGACCAGCCACACUGGGACUGAGACACGGCCCAGACUCCUACGGGAGGCAGCAGUGAGGAAUUUUCCGCAAUGGGCGAAAGCCUGACGGAGCGACGUCGCGUGUGGGAAGAGGCCUUCGGGUCGUAAACCACUGUCGAAGGGGAAGAUAUUGACGGUACCCUUGGGAGGAAGCCCCGGCUAACUACGUGCCAGCAGCCGC